AGCUGCUGCUCAUCCCCCCCCCCCGCGGAGCUGGCAGAGAGGGGACCCCACGCGUGGGCGCCCUCCCAGCAGGCCUGGUCUGUGCGGGGAAUCGGGGCUGCCGGCGGCUGGGGCCGUUUACAGCGGUCACCGGGCUGAGUUCGGAGUGAGUCCCAGUCCGGCGGCCACGGGGCUUGCCCCCCCGGCUGUGCCUGCCCGGCGGCGCUCCGCUCCCUGCUUACAAAGCGCCCCGCCGAGGAGGGGCCGGAGGCCGCCAGCGCUCAGCUGCAAACCCGCGGGCCCGCUCGUGGGCGGCUCGAGCUGGGGGAGCGACCCGCCGCCGGCCGGCUCUCCUGGGCAGCCCGCGGUGCCAUGCGGCUGGCGGGGAUUGUUCUGGGCAGGCUCCGCCCCGGUCCUGCCCCGCUGCCCCCGCGGGGGUGGGUUUCCUGAGAGGGGCCGGGCCCAGCGCAGAUCUGCCUCCAGCGCCGCAGCUCCCCCGGGACACUCCCGCUCCGCGCGGCUCGCAGCUGUGCCAAGGAGGCGCCUCCCUCCCGGCUCCAAACUCCUGUGACCCGCGGAGCCAGAGAUCGUCCUUGCAAAUGACAUUAUUACUGGAGGCUUUUGGCCAACCGCUCACUUCCCGUGAUGCCCUGCGGGCGGUGGUGGUGUAAUCUGCUAAAUUUUCGUUGUCUCCGACUUUUCUGGUGAAAGCACAAGGCUGAUAACAGUUACCCCACAUCCUGGACCUCGAAGUAUCGGCUUUGAAGCGGCUCUGCGCUCCAGCCAACAGAGGGUGAUUUACAUCAACUAGUCAGUCUCUAGAUGCUUCCCGGGGAAUCUACAGCUGAGCCAAAGUGAGCAAAUGCUCCCAACCCUUCCCCGCACCUCCCUCUCCCAUUCCCAGUGUAUCUCCAUCCCUGCCCGCAGCACGCACCUGUAGCAGGAGCAGAGCUCCCCUAUCUUGGUGUCGGAGUUUGAGGCAGAGUAACACCGCCUAUUGCACUGUUGAGUGCAAGGAAUGACAUGCAAUCAAGGGAUUUGCCUGACAUCAACACCUAAUUACAAUAAUUUAGCGGUGUGUGAAUGACAGCAAGCUCCAUUUUUGGUUGAAUUACAAUUAAAGGGAGAUAAUUAUGCCCUGCGCAGUACAAUGUAUUAAUAUUUAUGGCGUGGUGAAGACCUGGAGGUUUCUUUCAAUGGGAGGACGGAGCAUGCCAGAGGUUUUCAGCGCAGUGUUCUGUGGGACUGGAAAGUUUGCAGUGCGCAUAAAGCAGGAAGAUCGCGGCUGGGUUUGAUACAGUUGAAGGAAUCCAGAUCAACCAGCUGGGGUGAGAGAGGAUUAUAUAGAGAGAGAGAGCCAGAUGUCUGAAUUUUUCUUUAUAAACAUUUUAUCCCUCAUCAACCACGUCCCUCACCACAAGCCGGGCUCCCCUUUAUUUGUCUUUUCCUCUCGGAUCACUGGGGGUUUCCACGCCUCGUUAGUAGAUUGAGGUUUAAAUGGGUAGAAUUAAUGUCUAAACGCCAUUAAUUUACUUUAACUACACACAUGCGCGCUUGCCGAGCGUUUGUGUCCAGCUGCUCCCUAGGCACACGAUAUGUUAUUCACCUCAAGGUGGGAGGAGGCCACGAAGUGACUUGUGCUUCUAAUUUUAUACCUUCCAAAUUCUCUUUUCUGUUUUGCGUUCCCAUUCUGGCCAGAAUCUCCAAUCAGCUGCUCACCCAUGCAUGGGCGGUCAGCUGCCAACGCCUUUUAAAGGCAAUUUACUAACCAUUUGCAAAGCCUGCCCAACGCUGAUCUAAAUAACACACAGAGGGAGAAACCUGGCGCUGUGGGAAGCUGGAAUUUCACAACAACUUUUUUCAAGAAGAGGGGAGAAAGCUAAAAGAACAAAAUCAAACCACGUAAAUCCCAACUCCCUCCGCGAAAAACAAUCCCAAAUCAUUACAAAUCCCGCUUUGACGCAACGCCUUGAAACGCAAAUCUCCCCCCCCCCCCCCGCAGCUGCUGCUGCUGCUGCUACAUGGGGUGGUUUUUACUGCUGCCCCGCGUGUCCCUUCCCACGCUCAGAGCAGCAGCAGCAGCGCCUGGUGCUGAUCAAUUCUGAUGUAAUAAAAUAAACCAGUGAGUCCUCUGGGACCCUCGGAACGCGGCUCCCAUGGCAACAGGGACUAUAUAACCUGUGUAGCUGCUGCAGGCUUUAGCUGGAGCUGCUGCGAUCCAUCGGUCUCCAGGGAGCUGUGAUCUCCGCACACCAAGCACAGGGAGAAGCCAUCCAGCACCGCGUUGUUAUACCAGAGAGAUCUAGGGCCGGAUUAACCAAAACCCAUAAAGGAAUCACUCAGGAAGGAACCUAGCUAAUACAGAAGCUCAUUGGAACUGCACUGGAAAGCCAUUUCUGCCUGAAUACGUUCAGGGCAGCAGGUGUGGGAGGCAGACACUUGGUCUCCAAGGGAGUUACCUGAAGCAUAAGCAAGAGGCAGGCUUAGGGUUUUGCUUUUCGGGUUAUUGCUGAGUAUAUGAGAGCAGCAGAAGUACCUGAGUAAGUAAGGGUGAUAUUACAAGAAAGCUUGGAUGAAGGGGCAGUGUGCGUACUGAGUUCUGAAUGCUGUGACGUUACCAGUCCUGUGUCGUUAACCCACAGAGAUCUGUCCUAUGCAUAUCUGCAUUCGCCCAUGAACAAAUAGUGCUGAGGGGCCAGUCAUCAGAAGCCAGGGCAAUUUGGCUUUGGUUCACAGAGAAGCAAUCAAAAAAAAUCAAACAAUUGGUAAUCAUCAUGAAAGCUGGGCUACAGCAAGAAAGAUGAUGCAAAAAUCAGUGAGUAGCUCAAUACAACAGGGACAGUAAUAUGCUUUUAAUUAUAUAAAUUGAAAGACAAGUGGAGAAAAGCAUGUUAAAAAUGGUCAUAUUCCUGAGAAGUGUAAAGACAUGAAACAGCAAUGAAUUUGGAAGAAAGGACACUGGACUAAACAUCAAAUGGAGACCUCGAGAUGGGAAACGUACAGAAAAAGAGGAAGCAAUGGAAAAAUGUGCUAAAUAAAUUCUGUGAUGGAAACAGCUGGAUUAUAUUCUCUUGGGACUGAGAAAAAGAGAAACAGAAUGGAGAGAUCAUCUUCACCUGUCAGUGCUCAUAAUGAUGACAGAUAUAACAUCCAAGCAUUCUCAUCAUUCUGUAGUACUUCAUCUCAUUCCAUAACAAAGUGUUUCAAAAGAUUUCAGGAUGAACCACCUAAACACGUGAAAUGCCCUGUCCCUAUGGAGGGAAUGAGAGAGGAGGGAGGAAUAUCCCUACAAAGACAAGGCCCCUGGCUCCACGCGCUUGCACGCUGAAUAGACAGGAAGAAACGGGGGAGAGGAUGCAACAAAAAAGCAGCUGGUCUUGUGUAUGGUGGCAUCUUGUUAGUUCCAUGUUGUUAAGUCUCUGUGUUACUAGACUCCACUACAGGCUCAUUUUGUCAGGGGCAAACCUGAUGAGCCAAGACCAGAGACAACCCCCUGUAACCACUUUAAAGAGAAGCAGCCCAUUUACUCUUCCCCCCACCUUCAGCAAUCCUGCAGUACCAUCUACGUAGCAUCUGGAAGCAACAUGUAAUUGGGAAGGAAAGUCUCCGCCAUUUGUAGGUCCAUCUCUACAAGGAAACGCUGGUGAGUGUGAUGGUCACCAGCAGCUACAGCCUUUAUUCUACUGAUGCUUCCGCUCAGCAAUAAACCAAGAACUAAUGGGGAAAAGAUGGUGAGAUAGAGAUGGAGGAAGGCUGAGUCCGAGAGUU